rnacentral:rRNA from 1 species
GGAGGGUGCAAGCGUUAAUCGGAAUUACUGGGCGUAAAGCGUGCGCAGGCGGUUCUGUAAGACAGAUGUGAAAUCCCCGGGCUCAACCUGGGAAUUGCAUUUGUGACUGCAGGACUAGAGUUCAUCAGAGGGGGGUGGAAUUCCAAGUGUAGCAGUGAAAUGCGUAGAUAUUUGGAAGAACACCAAUGGCGAAGGCAGCCCCCUGGGAUGCGACUGACGCUCAUGCACGAAAGCGUGGGGAGCAAACAGGAUUAGAUACCCUGGUAGUCCACGCCGUAAACGAUGUCGACUUGGAGGUUGUGCCCUUGAGGCGUGGCUUCCGGAGCUAACGCGUUAAGUCGACCGCCUGGGGAGU